GGUGAACGCUGGCGGCGUGCCUAAUACAUGCAAGUCGAGCGAACGGACGAGAAGCUUGCUUCUCUGAUGUUAGCGGCGGACGGGUGAGUAACACGUGGAUAACCUACCUAUAAGACUGGGAUAACUUCGGGAAACCGGAGCUAAUACCGGAUAAUAUUUUGAACCGCAUGGUUCAAAAGUGAAAGACGGUCUUGCUGUCACUUAUAGAUGGAUCCGCGCUGCAUUAGCUAGUUGGUAAGGUAACGGCUUACCAAGGCAACGAUGCAUAGCCGACCUGAGAGGGCGAUCGGCCACACUGGAACUGAGACACGGUCCAGACUCCUACGGGAGGCAGCAGUAGGGAAUCUUCCGCAAUGGGCGAAAGCCUGACGGAGCAACGCCGCGUGAGUGAUGAAGGUCUUCGGAUCGUAAAACUCUGUUAUUAGGGAAGAACAUAUGUGUAAGUAACUGUGCACAUCUUGACGGUACCUAAUCAGAAAGCCACGGCUAACUACGUG
rnacentral:rRNA from 1 species